CCCCUCCGGGGUCCGAGUUGUAAUUUGCAGAGGAUGCUUCGGGUGCGGCCCCUGUCUAAGUGCCCUGGAACGGGCCGUCAGAGAGGGUGAGAAUCCCGUCUUGGGCAGGGUGCCCGUGCCCGUGUGAAGCUCCUUCGACGAGUCGAGUUGUUUGGGAAUGCAGCUCUAAAUGGGUGGUAAAUUUCAUCUAAAGCUAAAUACCGGCCGGAGACCGAUAGCGCACAAGUAGAGUGAUCGAAAGAUGAAAAGCACUUUGAAAAGAGAGUUAAACAGCACGUGAAAUUGUUGAAAGGGAAGCGCUUGCGACCAGACUCGGCCCCGGGGUUCAGCCAGCACUCGUGCUGGUGUACUUCCCCGGGGGCGGGCCAGCGUCGGUUUGGGCGGCCGGUCAAAGGCCCCAGGAAUGUGUCGCCCUCCGGGGCGUCUUAUAGCCUGGGGUGCAAUGCGGCCAGCCCGGACCGAGGAACGCGCUUCGGCACGGACGCUGGCGUAAUGGUCGCAAAC
rnacentral:rRNA from 1 species